rnacentral:rRNA from 1 species
UCAUUACCGAGUUUACACUCCCAACCCCUGUGAACAUACCUAUACGUUGCCUCGGCGGAUCAGCCCGCGCCCCGUAAAACGGGACGGCCCGCCCGAGGACCCCUAAACUCUGUUUUUAGUGGAACUUCUGAGUAAAACAAACAAAUAAAUCAAAACUUUCAACAACGGAUCUCUUGGUUCUGGCAUCGAUGAAGAACGCAGCAAAAUGCGAUAAGUAAUAUGAAUUGCAGAAUUCAGUGAAUCAUCGAAUCUUUGAACGCACAUUGCGCCCGCCAGUAUUCUGGCGGGCAUGCCUGUUCGAGCGUCAUUUCAACCCUCAAGCUCAGCUUGGUGUUGGGACUCGCGGUAACCCGCGUUCCCCAAAUCGAUUGGCGGUCACGUCGAGCUUCCAUAGCGUAGUAAUCAUACACCUCGUUACUGGUAAUCGUCGCGGCCACGCCGUAAAACCCCAACUUCUGAAUGUUGACCUCGGAUCAGGUAGGAAUACCCGCUGAACUUAAGCAUAUCAAUAAGCGGA